rnacentral:tRNA from 1 species
GGGCUUGUAGCUCAGUUGGUUAGAGCGCGUCCCUGAUAAGGACGAGGUCGGAGAUUCGAAUUCUCCCAGGCCCACCA